rnacentral:rRNA from 1 species
CGGCAUCAGCUCAAAUUUGAAAUCUGGCUCUUUCAGAGUCCGAGUUGUAAUUUGCAGAGGGCGCUUUGGUGUCGGCAGCGGUCCAAGUUCCUUGGAACAGGACGUCAGAGAGGGUGAGAAUCCCGU